AAAACCUAGAAUACAAACAAUGCGUCUGACUUGGUCAUCAGAAAGACCCACCCCAAACUACCACCACACUAUAGUGAGUCAGUGCUCUGACUCAGGAACUAUCCGUUCUUUCAGCACAGAGACUCUUCCCGGAGAAACUAGCAAGCACCAGACAAAUCACUUAACUAUUUUCAAGAGUGAGAUGGCCACUUGGUGACUAUAGUGGCUAUUCCUGGUUGUCAACUUGACUAUAUCUGGAGUGAACUACAAUCCAGAAUUGGAGGGCUCACCUGUGAUCCAGAUCUUGGGGCUGGAGGACACAAGUUUCUGACCUGGAUCUUGGCAUGGAGAUCUUGAGGCAUAGUGGCCAUGAAAAGCUUAGGCCCAGGCAAGGGAGUACAAACCUUUAAUCACAGGAGACUGAGGCAAGGAGUUCAAGGUCAGCCUGAGACAAAGCAAGUCCCAGAUCCAGGUGUGGUGGUACACACCUUUAAUCUGGGCCACACCGUCUGCUGACGGCCUGCAUAAGGACACUGGGAAAAUGAAGACUCACUCUUCUUCAUCUGCUUUCACUUACUUGCCAGUGCAUCUGUUAUUACCUCCUUUUUCCGGAUUCCAGCUUAUACAGAAGAGCAGCUGAAACAACUAGCCUUGUGGGACUGAGCAACUGCUAGAUUCUUGGACUUUCCAUUCACAGCUGACCAUUGUUUGUUUAGUUAAACUACACAGACUAUAAAUCAGCACAAUAAACUUCCUCAAGAUAGAGAGACAUUCCAUAAGUUCAGUGACUCUAGAGAGCCCUAAUACAGUGACUCUAAGCACAAAAUCAAUGGGAACACAGUGAAUAACAGGUUUCAUAAGUGUACAAGCAAACUUCUAAAAUUCUGUGCAAGUUUUUCAAUACAAAAAUGUCAGAAGUGGGUAUCUCAGACAAAGUCCGCACUAUUUCAUGCUUCAGAAAUUUUAAUAUUCCCUUAGGAACCAGAUUAUAUACAAGCACACACCACAGGAGACAAAAAUAGAAGCCAGAUCAUGAUAAUGCACUGCAGUUUUAUUCAAACACAAAACUUACCUCCCCCUGAGUCAACUGCACAUCCCCUAACACAGAAAUUAAAAACAUCCCUGUAAGUACUGUAGUCUGGGAUAAUACUCCUCUAUGUGGACAGAUUACUUUUUAUGUCUAUGGGAAAUAAAGCUCUGGGCAAUCUCG
ensembl:lncRNA